rnacentral:rRNA from 1 species
UACGGGGGGGGCAAGCGUUGUUCGGAAUUACUGGGCGUAAAGGGCUCGUAGGCGGCCAACUAAGUCAGACGUGAAAUCCCCAGGCUCAACCUGGGAACUGCGUCUGAUACUGGAUGGCUUGAAUCCGGGGGAGGGAUGCAGAAUUCCAGGUGUAGCGGUGAAAUGCGUAGAUAUCUGGAGGAAUACCGGUGGCGAAGGCGGCAUCCUGGACCGGCAUUGACGCUGAGGAGCGAAAGCCAGGGGAGCAAACGGG